UAGCACCAUUUGAAAUCGGUUAU
rnacentral:ncRNA from 3 species